GACGAACCGUGCGAACGUUGUUCGGAUUCACUGGGCUUAAAGGGCGCGUAGGCGGGUGGUCAAGUCAGGGGUGAAAGCCCACGGCCCAAUCGUGGAAGUGCCUCUGAUACUGACUGUCUUGAGGGAGGUAGGGGCAUGCGGAACUUCCGGUGGAGCGGUGAAAUGCGUAGAUAUCGGAAGGAACGCCGGUGGCGAAAGCGGCGUGCUGGACCUCUUCUGACGCUGAGGCGCGAAAGCCAGGGGAGCGAACGGG
rnacentral:rRNA from 1 species